AUUAACUCUACCAAGAAACACACAGUUUACUGACAAUACAGAUACCAGUGUGAAGUUUCAGUGUGGUGCCAUAUCAAAAACUGGGAAUCAAAUUUAUACACAAACAUCUGUAGAUGUCAGAUUUGCAGUACGUGUUACAACAGUGACAUUGAAAGAUGGUCGUUCAAUUCCAUCAAAUUCAUUGGAAGUAAACAGUGAGGAAUCUCAUACAUUGACAUGCUCAUCUAGUGUAAGCAGACCAACAGCAACUAUCAUCUGGUAUUUUCGAGGCCAGGAGCAGAAAAGAGAAACUACUACAAUUUCAAGCUUAACAUUCACACCAGAAUACUCUGAUAAUCAGAAACAAGUUUACUGUAAAGCUUUUAAUAUACAGACUGAAAGUCAAGCUGUGUCUUCAAAAUAUGUGUCACUAUAUGUAAAAGUAAAGGUAGCUAAUGUAACAUUAAAAGACAGCAACACAAUACUAUCAGGAACACUAGAAGUGACAAAUGGUGUAUCUAAAACAUUGACAUGUACAGCAAGU